rnacentral:misc_RNA from 1 species
AGCAGCCGCGGUAAUUCCAGCUCCAAUAGCGUAUAUUAAAGUUGUUGCAGUUAAAAAGCUCGUAGUUGAAUUUCGGGGUUAGCAGGUCGGUCGUGCCAUCGGUAUGAACUGGUCUCGCUGAUCCCUCCCUCUUGACGAACUGUGAUGCCAUUAAUUUGGUGUCGCAGGGAAUCAGGACUGUUACUUUGAAAAAAUUAGAGUGUUUAAAGCAGGCUCACGCUUGAAUACAUUAGCAUGGAAUAAUGAAAUAGGACGUUUGAUCCUAUUUUGUUGGCUUCUAGGAUUGACGUAAUGAUUAAUAGGGAUAGUUGGGGGCAUUAGUAUUCAAUUGUCAGAGGUGAAAUUCUUGGAUUUAUUGAAGACUAACUACUGCGAAAGCAUUUGCCAAGGAUGUUUUCAUUAAUCAAGAACGAAAGUUAGGGGAUCGAAGACGAUCAGAUACCGUCGUAGUCUUAACCAUAAACUAUGCCGACUAGGGAUCGGAUGAUGUUAAUUUUUUUCAAUGACUCAUU